rnacentral:rRNA from 1 species
UACGUAGGCAGCGAGCGUUGUUCGGAGUUACUGGGCGUAGAGGGUGUGUAGGCGGUUGUUUAAGUUUGGUGUGAAAUCUCCCGGCUCAACUGGGAGGGUGCGCCGAAUACUGAAUGACUUGGAGUGCGGGAGAGGUGAGUGGAAUUCCCGGUGUAGUGGUGAAAUGCGUAGAUAUCGGGAGGAACACCAGUGGCGAAGGCGACUACCUGGCCUGUUCUUGACGCUGAGGCGCGAAAGCUAGGGGAGCAAACGGG